AUACUAACCUUGCGUAGGGUGUACCGUGAUCACGAAGGCGGUUGCCCCGGGCAGGCGCCAGCCAUUGCACCUCGGCUGGAUCGCGCCGGUCUGUGACUAUCCCUUCUGGGGUACGUCGUGCGUGUAAUUUUUGGUAGUUGGACUUGCGUACUGCGCGGUCCAU